AUCACACUCACUGCCACUUCUCGUAGAAUACCGCUACCACAAACCACCGGCGUUUGUACCAAUAUACCAGACGACUACAUCCGUUUUACCACACAUUGAAGCAAGACUUCUGCUCUUUGUUCCAGACCAGGACUCUUUCUGAGGAGAGCAGAUGGAGGAGCUGAGACGCUGGAGGACAACUAGGAAUCAACCAACAAGGAUUCCUCAACGUGUUUCUGGAGCGGAGGCGAGCUGAUGGGGGAGCCGUGAAUCUGGAGGAUGACGUCACUCUACCAACAAAGAUUACCAGGACUCUGGCUGAGGAGAGCUGAUGGAGGAGCCAUAAAACCAGGAAUCUGGAGGACUGACGGAGAAGCUGUACAUCUGGAAGGCAAAUCCUGAGGACGAUCAGGACUCUACCAUCAAGGAUUCCUCACACACAUGAGCUGAACCUCACCUGAUCCUGUUUGGUCGGGGGCAGACGCACCUGAGCUGAACCCCACCUGAUCCGGACAUCCUGCUGGUCCCGUCUCCUCAGUUCAUCUGAGCCUCUUCCUCCAGAAGACAUGCUGAGCUCGGCGGUCUGAGGCUGAUGUAUCAAUGACCUCCAGUGGGAGUGAUCUUCUUGACCCCACAUGUAGCCGUGUGCUUCCACACGCCUUUCCCUCACGUCUGUCACUAACCUCAUUACUUCACUACUCUCUACUCCUUCUCCUUCUUCUUCCUUCUCCGUGGUUCGAACCUUUACUCUGAAGGAGAAUCUCCUUGAACCUUUACACUGAAGGAGCGUCUUCCUGUCCUCAGAGGGUUCAGCGUUAGGGUUGAGAGUCAGGGUUUAGAGUCAGGGACAGAGCUGGUCAGGGAGGGCUGGUUUUACAUAAACCUUUUCACUUGCUUUCUGAAUGGUGGUGACAUUUUGAAAAGAUUAAUUUGGGAAAAUGUUUUCCUCUUUUUUUGCUUUACAAAAAUAUGUAUUAAACUUCUGUGUUUGUAACCAGACCAGGUAUCCAUGGCUGAAGGAACUGAUGGUGGAGCCGUGCUGAAAGAGCGGAUGGAGGAGCCGUGCUGACGGCCCUGCCUGGUGGAGGAGCCGUGCUGACGGCCCUGCCUGGUGGAGGAGCCGUGCUGACGGCCCUGCCUGGUGGAGGAGCCGUGCUGACGGCCCUGCCUGGUGGAGGAUGUCUGUCGUGGGGUAGAUGGAGCCUGACUCUGUGACAUCACACUCACUGCCACUUCUCGUAGAAUACUGCUACCACAAACCACCGGCGUUUGUAACAAUAUACCAGACGACUACAUCUGUUUUACCACAUGUUGAAGCAAGACUUCUGCUGUUUGUUCCAGACCAGGACUCUGUCUGAGGAGAGCAGAUGGAGGAGCUGAGAUGCUGGAGGACAACUAGGAAUCGACCAACAAGGAUUCUUCAACGUGUUUCUGGAGCGGAGGCCAGCUGGUAGGGGAGCCGUGAAUCUGGAGGAUGACCAUCACUCUACCAACAAGGAUUACUUUAGGGCCAGACUCGCGCUGUUUGUUCCAGACCAGGACUCUGGCUGAGGAGAGCUGAUGGAGGAGCCAAGACUCUGUAGGACGACAUCACUCCACCAACCAGGAUCCUCACCAGGAGUCUGGAGGACUGACGGAGAAGCUGUACAUCUGGAAGGCAAAUCCUGAGGACGAUCAGGACUCUACCAUCAAGGAUUCCUCACACACAUGAGCUGAACCUCACCUGAUCCUGUUUGGUCGGGGGCAGACGCACCUGAGCUGAACCCCACCUGAUCCGGACAUCCUGCUGGUCCCGUCUCCUCAGUUCAUCUGAGCCUCUUCCUCCAGAAGACAUGCUGAGCUCGGCGGUCUGAGGCUGAUGUAUCAAUGACCUCCAGUGGGAGUGAUCUUCUUGACCCCACAUGUAGCCGUGUGCUUCCACACGCCUUUCCCUCACGUCUGUCACUAACCUCAUUACUUCACUACUCUCUACUCCUUCUCCUUCUUCUUCCUUCUCCGUGGUUCGAACCUUUACUCUGAAGGAGUGUCUCCUUGAACCUUUACACUGAAGGAGCGUCUUCCUGUCCUCGGAGGGUUCAGCGUUAGGGUUGAGAGUCAGGGUUUAGAGUCAGGGACAGAGCUGGUCAGGGAGGGCUGGUUUUACAUAAACCUUUUCACUUGCUUUCUGAAUGGUGGUGACAUUUUGAAAAGAUUAAUUUGGGAAAAUGUUUUCCUCUUUUUUUGCUUUACAAAAAUAUGUAUUAAACUUCUGUGUUUGUAACCAGACCAGGUAUCCAUGGCUGAAGGAGCUGAUGGUGGAGCCGUGCUGAAAGAGCGGAUGGAGGAGCCGUGCUGACGGCCCUGCCUGGUGGAGGAGCCGUGCUGACGGCCCUGCCUGGUGGAGGAGCCGUGCUGACGGCCCUGCCUGGUGGAGGAGCCGUGCUGACGGCCCUGCCUGGUGGAGGAUGUCUGUCGUGGGACCAGGACUCUGUCUGAGGAGAGCAGAUGGAGGAGCUGAGAUGCUGGAGGACAACUAGGAAUCGACCAACAAGGAUUCUUCAACGUGUUUCUGGAGCGGAGGCCAGCUGGUAGGGGAGCCGUGAAUCUGGAGGAUGACCAUCACUCUACCAACAAGGAUUACUUUAGGGCCAGACUCGCGCUGUUUGUUCCAGACCAGGACUCUGGCUGAGGAGAGCUGAUGGAGGAGCCAAGACUCUGUAGGACGACAUCACUCCACCAACCAGGAUCCUCAGACAAAUUACGUUUGUAACCAGACCAGGAAUCUGGAGGACUGACGGAGAAGCUGUACAUCUGGAAGGCAAAUCCUGAGGACGAUCAGGACUCUACCAUCAAGGAUUCCUCACACACAUGAGCUGAACCUCACCUGAUCCUGUUUGGUCGGGGGCAGACGCACCUGAGCUGAACCCCACCUGAUCCGGACAUCCUGCUGGUCCCGUCUCCUCAGUUCAUCUGAGCCUCUUCCUCCAGAAGACAUGCUGAGCUCGGCGGUCUGAGGCUGAUGUAUCAAUGACCUCCAGUGGGAGUGAUCUUCUUGACCCCACAUGUAGCCGUGUGCUUCCACACGCCUUUCCCUCACGUCUGUCACUAACCUCAUUACUUCACUACUCUCUACUCCUUCUCCUUCUUCUUCCUUCUCCGUGGUUCGAACCUUUACUCUGAAGGAGUGUCUCCUUGAACCUUUACACUGAAGGAGCGUCUUCCUGUCCUCAGAGGGUUCAGCGUUAGGGUUGAGAGUCAGGGUUUAGAGUCAGGGACAGAGCUGGUCAGGGAGGGCUGGUUUUACAUAAACCUUUUCACUUGCAUUCUGAAUGGUGGUGACAUUUUGAAAAGAUUAAUUUGGGAAAAUGUUUUCCUCUUUUUUUGCUUUACAAAAAUAUGUAUUAAACUUCUGUGUUUGUAACCAGACCAGGUAUCCAUGGCUGAAGGAGCUGAUGGUGGAGCCGUGCUGAAAGAGCGGAUGGAGGAGCCGGGCUGACGGCCCUGCCUGGUGGAGGAGCCGGGCUGACGGCCCUGCCUGGUGGAGGAGCCGUGCUGACGGCCCUGCCUGGUGGAGGAGCCGUGCUGACGGCCCUGCCUGGUGGAGGAUGUCUGUCGUGGGACCAGGACUCUGUCUGAGGAGAGCAGAUGGAGGAGCUGAGAUGCUGGAGGACAACUAGGAAUCGACCAACAAGGAUUCUUCAACGUGUUUCUGGAGCGGAGGCCAGCUGGUAGGGGAGCCGUGAAUCUGGAGGAUGACCAUCACUCUACCAACAAGGAUUACUUUAGGGCCAGACUCGCGCUGUUUGUUCCAGACCAGGACUCUGGCUGAGGAGAGCUGAUGGCGGAGCCAAGACUCUGUAGGACGACAUCACUCCACCAACCAGGAUCCUCAGACGAAUUACGUUUGUAACCAGACCAGGAAUCUGGAGGACUGAUGGAGAAGCCGUACAUCUGGAAGGCAAAUCCUGAGGACCAGCAGGACUCUACCAUCAAGGAUUCCUCAUAAGUUUGCAUUAUCUGGACAAAGUGGCCUAGACACACCUGAGCUGAACCUCACCUGAUCCUGUUUGGUCGGGGGUAGACACACCUGAGCUAAACCCACCCUGAUCCUGACAUCCUGCUGGUCCAGUCUCCUCAGUUCUCCUGAGCCUCGUCCCAGGCUGAUGGAUCAAUGACCUCCAGUGGGAGGGAUCUUCUUGACCCCACUUGUAACCGUGUGCUUCCACACGCCUUUCCCUCACAUCUGUCACUAACCUCACUACUUCACUACUCUCUACUGCUUCCUCUUUUCUUCCUUCUCUGUGGUUUAAACCUUUUAUACUGAAGGCGCGUCUUCCUGCCCUCAGAGGGUUUAGCGUUAGGGUUGAGAGUCAGGGUUUAGAGUCAGGGACAGAGCUGGUCAGGGAGGACUGCUUUUACACAAACCUCUUGACUUGCUUUCGGAAUGGUGGUGACAUUUUGAAAAGAUUCAUUUGGUAAAAUCUUUUCCUCUGCUUCCCUUUACAAAAUUGUAUCAAACUUCUGUCAAGUGUUUUUGUUUAAAUAUUAAAAUCCCACAUUGACUUCUACAUGUUUGGUGCGGUUCAUUUAUUUGUCCUUUUAACUUGGUUAAUGUCAAGCUAAACUCCUGCAAUACAUUGAUAUACAUGAUUGUUAUUCAACAAUGUUCACAUAAUCCAUUUUGUAAAAAUAGGAAACCCCAAUAUUACUACUAAAUUCAAGCCUAUUCAUGUAUUUAAAGGCCCACUAUGCAAGAUCGGGAAUUUCUUCGCUGUUUUCUUGGUUUGGCACGCACCUUUCUCUACACAGCGCCCCCUACAGCUUCGUAGUAGAUAUUUUACAACACUGUCGUAACAACUCGUUGACGACCCUUCCCCAUGCACUUCUACGCUAGCCAUGUGCAUUUGUUUUCAAAGAAGCCGGCGAAUGCGUGGA